UAGAUCUGUUCCAGUCCAUAGGCCAGGAAGCUAUCUUCCAAAUUUCUUGGCAGAUGGGUGAGCACCUCCAAUGCUGCAUCUGUUUGCUGAAUCAUUUCAAUUGGUAUUGCAUCAAUUCUGGAGCCUGGCUUUUUGCCAUUCCCUUCAGUGCAGCUGAGACUUCUUCCUUCAGUUCUUGAUCAUAUGCUACCUCCUAAAAUGGUUAAACAUCAACGAAUUCUUUUUUGUACAGCGACUUUGUGUAUUCUUUCCACCUUCUUUGGAUGCUUCCUGCAUUGUUCAAUAUUUUGCCCAUAAAUUUUAGAAUGCUUCAAUAUGGAAAAUCAAGGUUUGAAUUUUUUCUUCGCUUAUCUCAUCUUGAGAACUGCCUAGUGUGAUCUUCUAUUUUGAUCUUCUAACUCCAGCUAUAGUCAAUUUGAUUCCUGUUCAUCUCAUUUUUUGAGGUACAUCCUGAAGUACAAUGGUAUCAGUGACUGGAUAAUAUCCAUAUGCUUAAAAGGAACACCAGUUGAUACGACUAUUAUUCAAAUUUAUGCACCAAUCACUAAUGCCAAAGAUGAGGAAAUUGAAGAUUUUUAUCAACUUCUGCAGUCUGAAAUUGACCAAACAUCAAUCAACAUGCAUUGAUCGUUACCAGUGAUUGGAAUGCCAAAGUUGGAAACGAAGAAGGAUCGGUAGUUGGAAAAUAGGUACUUCGUGAUAGAAAUGACACCGGAGAUUACAUGACAAAUUUUGAAGGUCAAUGUCAUCUUCAUUGCAAAUACCUUUUUUCAACAACAUAAAUGGCAAAUAGCUAAUGUAGUGGCGUGAAAUAAAAAUUACAACUGGAAUGUCACGGUACAAAUUCUAAGAAAAAGAGAAACUCAACUUCCCCAGACAGAAGAACUUUAUUGGCAUAGAUUUUUUGUCUUUGUUUUUUUUUCUUUAAUAUGAAAAUGUGUACUUUAGUUUACCCCAAAUAUGACAAAACCCAUUAAAAACCAUGUUAAAUCCUGCAUUCUCCAGAUAUUACAUUCUUGUGUAGUAUAAAUGCCAGGUAUAAAAGAAGAAUAAACAGUGAUUCUUACAUGUGCCUAUCCCAAUGGUUCAAUUUAACUAGACUAUAGUGUGCAUAUUCUGAGUUAUACAAUUUUUUUCAUAAUAAUUUAAAAAAAUUUUUUUAUGGAGUUAUCUAUUAAAAGCCUAAAGUGAUCAUUUCCAUACAAAAUCCUUGAUACAGCUCCAUUAUAUUUUUCAUACUAAAUUAACAUUAUAGCCUUCUAAUAAAUCCUUUCAUUAAGUGUGGAUGUUAUGAGCAAUAUUUGGCAAAAUAAAAUCUUUCACUGUGAAAUAUUCAUUAUUAAGUGUCAGACAAUAUUAAGUGUUUUCUGAACCUUAUGAUUUCAGUGAGAAACUAAAAGCUAAGUGAGAAACUAAAAAUCCCCAGACAAAGCUUAUGUGCCAUACAAAAAUCUGUGGUCACUAGGUGUGUUUUGUAUUUCAUAAUUGCCGUACAACUGGCUUCUCUUUUGUCUUUUAUGCUCAGAGGCACUCCACUAGAAGGUUGUCCGUUCCAUAGAAUGAAAAACAAAAGUCUAUACUAAUUUAAAUACAUAUCCUUCAUAAGGCAAUUCAAAUGAGUUGUUCCUGUGUGUGGAUUUGUAUGUACAAUUAGAAGAAUUUCAUGGUCAGUGAAGAGCAAAGGGAGAAAAUCAGAGAGGGUCGGGAGUCAAUGGAGAUGCUGAGACAGAAGGGGGUACAGAAAAGGCCUGCACAGCGCAAUAAGUAAAAUAGUCACAGACAAAGGCAGAGCAGUGCUGGGAAUUCCAGCUGAGAUGCUUACCGGUAAUAUUUCUAUUGGCUUCCAGGGGACGCUGGCAGCUCACAACGACAGCAUUUGGCUUCCCUUUUUGAUUUUUGACCUUCAAAUUUAUGGGAUCAAGUUCCAGGUCUGGGAGAUGAGACAGACAGACACAAGGCCUUAUUGUUGAAAUUGAAAGAAAACCGAUAUUCAUAGGACUUCUAGUCACAGUGUUAACAGAAUCUAUUAUGAAGUGUAUCUUGUUUAUUUUGCCAUUUACAAUUUAUUUCAAGGGUUUAUAUUAAAUAAGCAAAGAAUCAAAAAAUAAAAAAAAAAACAAUGAUUCCCCAUGGAAGUUAAGUGACUUCAUAAGAUAAUAAUAUAGAGAGAGAAGAGUAGAACUGGCUUUU